CCUACGGGAGGCAGCAGUGGGGAAUAUUGGGCAAUGGGCGCAAGCCUGACCCAGCAACGCCGCGUGAAGGAAGAAGGCUUUCGGGUUGUAAACUUCUUUUGUCAGGGAAGAGUAGAAGACGGUACCUGACGAAUAAGCCACGGCUAACUACGUGCCAGCAGCCGCGGUAAUACGUAGGUGGCAAGCGUUUUCCUGAUUUACUGGGUGUAAAGGGCGUGUAGCCGGGUUGACAAGUCAGAUGUGAAAUCCUGCGGCUUAACCGCAGAACUGCAUUUGAAACUGUUGAUCUUGAGUACUGGAGAGGCAGACGGAAUUCCGAGUGUAGCGGUGAAAUGCGUAGAUAUUAGGAGGAACACCAGUGGCGAAGGCGGUCUGCUGGACAGCAACUGACGGUGAGGCGCGAAAGCGUGGGGAGCAAACAGGAUUAGAUCCCCAGUAGUC
rnacentral:rRNA from 1 species